rnacentral:rRNA from 1 species
GAACUGAGAGACUUGAGUGCAGGAGAGGAAAGUGGAAUUCCUAGUGUAGAGGUGAAAUUCGUAGAUAUUAGGAGGAACACCAGUGGCGAAGGCGACUUUCUGGACUGUAACUGACGCUGAGGCACGAAAGUGUGGGGAGCGAACAGGAUUAGAUACCCUGGUAGUCCACACCGUAAACGAUGAAUACUAGGUGUCGGGGGUCGAACCUCGGUGCCGCAGCUAACGCAUUAAGUAAUCCGCCUGGGGAGUACGCACGCAAGUGUGAAACUCAAAGGAAUUGACGGGGACCCGCACAAGUAGCGGAGCAUGUGGUUUAAUUCGAAGCAACGCGAAGAACCUUACCAAGUCUUGACAUCCUUAUGCAAAUCUCUUAGCCGAGAUGUUCUCUUCGGAGACAUAAGUGACAGGUGGUGCAUGGUUGUCGUCAGCUCGUGUCGUGAGAUGUUGGGUUAAGUCCCGCAACGAGCGCAACCCUUAUGUUUAGUUGCCAUCAGUUAGGCUGGGCACUCUAGACAGACUGCCGUGGACAACACGGAGGAAGGUGGGGAUGACGUCAAAUCAUCAUGCCCCUUAUGAUUUGGGCUACACACGUGCUACAAUGGUCGGUACAACGGGCAGCGAAGGAGUGAUCUGGAGCGAAUCCUAAAAAGCCGAUCUCAGUUCGGAUUGUAGGCUGCAACUCGCCUACAUGAAGUUGGAGUUACUAGUAAUCGUGGAUCAGAAUGCCGC